AUUAAAAUCUAAAUAAGUUUGACCUGGUAGUACUGGACAUUAAGUAAUCAAUAUCUUAACGUGCAAACACAA
rnacentral:tRNA from 1 species